AUUGAACGCUGGCGGCAGGCCUAACACAUGCAAGUCGAGCGAGCGGCGGACGGGUGAGUAAUGUAUGGGGAUCUGCCCGAUAGAGGGGGAUAACUACUGGAAACGGUGGCUAAUACCGCCUACUAUCGGAUGAACCCAUAUGGGAUUAGCUUGUAGGUGAGGUAACGGCUCACCUAGGCGACGAUCCCUAGCUGGUCUGAGAGGAUGAUCAGCCACACUGGAACUGGGACACGGUCCAGAAUCCUACGGGAGGCAGCAGUGGGGAAUAUUGGACAAUGGGCGCAAGCCUGAUGCAGCCAUGCCGCGUGAAUGAAGAAGGCCUUCGGGUUGUAAAGUUCUUUCGGUAGCGAGGCGUUAACUACAGAAGAAGCACCGGCUAACUCCGUGCCAGCAGCCGCGGUAAUUC
rnacentral:rRNA from 1 species